rnacentral:misc_RNA from 1 species
AUGUAUUUCAAUGCCAUGCUCUUCGUGGGCGAUUGAAACAUUUAGUGAUAAUAUAUCUUAUAAUUCACAUUUACCAAAAGUGAAAGUGAGUAGGACUGAUAAAGAAUAGAAUAAUCAGUCUAUCUUGUAGCUUUCGGAAAAAAUAACCAUAUAUAGCAUUCAAAAUACGGGUAUUGAAUCUGAUACGCAAAAAAAUGCAUUUUAAUAUCAUGGUGUUCACAGAACUAUAAGAAUAUUUCCAAUAGGAAAGAAAAUAAUAUUUUUAAAUUAUUUUAAUAAAAGGCAGCCGAGAGGAAGAAAAAAUAUUCUAUUACAUCAUAUUUCCCAUUUCAGGCCUGCAACUGGGUGAUCGAGUGAAUAAGAACGCUUGACGUCCCGACAUAAAUAUCUGGCAGCUGAACGUAUUCGCAAUAAGAUUAACUCAUAUGUAAUGCGAACACGAAUUAGUUUCGGUUAGAUAACACGAGGCAGUUUCUGUUUGAGAGAGCCGCUACAGAGCCAUCUCUACUGACGCAG